rnacentral:rRNA from 1 species
UGGGGGAAACCCUGAUGCAGCAACGCCGCGUGAAGGAUGAAGGUCUUCGGAUUGUAAACUUCUUUGAUGAGGGACGAAUAAAUGACGGUACCUCAAAAACAAGCCACGGCUAACUACGUGCCAGCAGCCGCGGUAAUACGUAGGUGGCAAGCGUUGUCCGGAAUUAUUGGGCGCAAAGGGCGCGUAGGCGGUUUCUUAAGUCAGAUGUGAAAUCCCGGGGCUUAACUUCGGGCGUGCAUUUGAAACUGGGGAACUAGAGUGCAGGAGAGGUAAGUGGAAUUCCUAGUGUAGCGGUGAAAUGCGUAGAUAUUAGGAGGAACACCAGUGGCGAAGGCGACUUACUGGACUGUAACUGACGCUGAGGCGCGAAAGCGUGGGGAGCAAACAGGAUUAGAUACCCUGGUAGUCCACGCUGUAAACGAUGGAUACUAGGUGUGGGAGGUAUCGACCCCUUCCGUGCCGCAGUAAACGCAAUAAGUAUCCCGCCUGGGGAGUAC